rnacentral:lncRNA from 1 species
UGGAGGUAGGGGGGGCUGUGCCAAGGGGCACCGGAGGAGGUGGCUCCUCCUGCACCAGCUGUGGUCGGAGAGGACACACGGCCGACCGGUGCUGGAGGAGCCAGUCUGGGAGUCGAGAAGGCAGGCAGAACACUUCUCGGUCACCUCAGUGUGUGCUAGGGUACCAGCCGGUCCUGGCCCCAUGGCACCAGAGCCAGACCGAGGCUCCUGCGGUGGAGGACUGGGUUCAGCACUCCAAGGAGACCUGGAAAGCAGUACAGGACUCACUGAAGGAGGCCA